rnacentral:rRNA from 1 species
CGUAGGGUGCGAGCGUUAAUCGGAAUUACUGGGCGUAAAGCGUGCGCAGGCGGUUUUGUAAGACAGAUGUGAAAUCCCCGGGCUCAACCUGGGACCUGCAUUUGUGACUGCAAGGCUAGAGUACGGUAGAGGGGGAUGGAAUUCCGCGUGUAGCAGUGAAAUGCGUAGAUAUGCGGAGGAACACCGAUGGCGAAGGCAAUCCCCUGGACCCGUACUGACGCUCAUGCACGAAAGCGUGGGGAGCAAACAGGAUUAGAUACCCUGGUAGUCCACGCCCUAAACGAUGUCAACUGGUUGUUGGGUCUUUACUGACUCAGUAACGAAGCUAACGCGUGAAGUUGACCGCCUGGGGAGUACGGCCGCAAGGUUG